rnacentral:snRNA from 1 species
AGAUCUUCUAGAGUGUGGUUUUCCCAGGGCGAGGCUUAUCCAUUGCACUGUGGAUAUGCUGACCCCUGCGAUUUUCCCAAAUGCAGGAAACUGGACUGCAUAAUUUGUGGUAGUGGGGUACUGUGUUCGCACUUUCCCUGG